rnacentral:lncRNA from 1 species
CACUCCGGCUUGGGCAACAGGAGUGAAACUCCAUCUCAAAUAAAUAAAUCAAUCAAUCUUUUCUCCAUUGGAUUAAUUAUCAUGGCACGUUGUCUCAAAUCAGUUGACCAUCUGUGUGUGAAUCUAUUUUUGGAGUCUAUGUUCAAUAAAUUUAAAAGGAGUUUAUUGAUUUUCUUAGAGGCAGUUUUUGGUUGAAUCAAUUUUUAUUGAUCCUGUUUUUAAAUUCAUCAGUUUCUGUUCUGAUAGUUACUAUUUCGUGUCUUCUGUUUACUUUGGGUUUUUUUUUCUUCUAGAAACAGAGGCCACUGAUUUGAGACCUUUUGUCUUUUCUAAUGGAGUUGAGUGCUGUAGAUCUUCCCCAAGGUCCUGCUUUAUCAGCAUCCCACAACUUUUUAUCUGCCAUGUUUUCAUUUUCAAUUACUUUAAAAUGCUAAUUUUUCUUUUGAUUUAUUUAGAGUAUAGUUCAGAGGUCAGCCAGAUAUUUGAGUGUACUUUGUACCAGCUUUUUAAGUUUCUCCCACCUGUUCCCUUUCCCUCUCCAUUCAAUUUUCAGCUGCUCUGGCAGUCUUGAACACCAAUGUCACUCCACGGUCUAAUAUAAUAGCUGCUUGCUGAUGGACCUUGCUCUUUGUUGUGAACUAGGGGAAUUCCUUCAGGAGAAAAGCCAAAUAAAUGUGGAUAUCACCCAGUGUGAUUUUCUUCAUUCAAGAGCUAUAUCUCCUGCAGUUUCUGCCUGCUCUUAGCUGUUCUGCAUUGCCUUCAAAGAAUUGUUUUUUCAAAUUUUGUCUAAGGGGGCAGCAUCUUCUACUAUGUGCAUCUACAUUGGAUGGCAGUGGAGCAACACAGAUUGUUUUCUGACAAAAAUCAGCCAAGUACUAGGAGAGGCAGGACUUUAGAAGUGGAGGAGAUGGAGAAGGAAGCUUAGGUUACUAUGGAGUGUGCAAAAAGGUCCUGUGGAUUUAGAUACCACCACACACAAAUGGUAUGUAAUACUCACUUGAAGACAAAUCAGCCAGAGGGAUCUAACAGCAUUGACCCAUUCUCUGGUCUUCUAGCAUCCAUCAUAGUUUUGUGCUCCUUUUCCAUGAAACACAGCUGUUGUUGGAAGGUACCUGCCCAGAUAAGGACUGCAUUUCCUCUAGCAUCCAGAUGGGACCAAAUGACUGCUGGCCAAUAGAAGUGAGUGGAAAGGACUGACUCCAGUUCCAGGUUGGGCCUCCAACUGCUCUGGGCACGUCGAUGGAACAGAACACCACCUCCACCCCAAUACCACCAAUUCAACUUUACAUGAAUUAUAAGCGAGAAAUAA